CCUGCCGAAUGAAUUAGCCCUGAAAAUGGAUGGCGCUGAAGCGAGUAGCCGAUACUAUGCCGUCUGUGCAAUAUAUGCUUUCAGAUGAGUAGGAGGAACGUGGCGGUUGUAUAGAAGCGUAUGCGCGAGCAUGCGUGGAACGGCCGCUAGUGCAGAUCUUGGUGGUAGUAGCAAAUAUUCAAAUGAAAACCUUGAAGGGUGAAGUGGGGAAGGGUUCCACGCGAACAUUGAUUGAGUGUGGGUGAGUCGUCCCUAAGCCGAGUGUCCAAUCCUCACACAAAAAUGCGACGGCGAAAGGGAAGCAGGUUGAUAUUCCUGCACACGGAUGUGGUGAAAAGCGGUGACGCUAGACUGUGGCGGUGAAGCCGUCGGUUGCACUGGGCAGAGAUUUCUUUUCUGUUUGACGAAGUCUGAUGUACUCUAUGGAAUCCGCUUGUCGGGAGAAAUAGGUAUGUUACGGCAAAGCGCCGGGAUUUUUCUGGCGUCCAGAUCGCGACUGGUGGACCUUGAAAAGCUGUCUGCAGGCACUGUAAAAAAUGGGCAGCAAUGUCCUUUAUUUUUUUGCGGUGAUUUAAAAGAGUAACCACGCCGUAACGUACCGAUAACCGCAUCAGGUCCCCAAGGUGAACAGCCUCUGCUCGAUAUGAUUAUUGUAGGUAAGGGAAGUCGGCAAAUUAGACCCGUAACUUUGGGAAAAGGGUUGGCUCUAGUGCUGCGUAGGAGUGGUUUUUGGGGUGUAGCGGGGGAGGUGUUUCUUUCCGUCUUUUUUCUUCUUUGCUGGUGUAAAAAGCUGGUAGAGGGGAAGAGAGCGAGGGAGGCCCUUUCUUGUUGCUCCUGGGGACGCCUACAGCAUGCGGCAAACUAGAACUGCAACGGACAAAGGGAAUCCGACUGUUUAAUUAAAACAAAGCAUU
rnacentral:rRNA from 1 species